CAAUUCCCGCCAGAUUCAGGCGCUCAUAUUGAGCAUAAAAGGGAACCCCGUGUAAUUCGGGGACGGGCCCGCCGCUGUAAUCGGGGACGAAAGCCGCGUAAUGCCACUGCCUGUUCUUUAACAGGUGGGAAGGUGCGGCAAGUAGGGGCAGACCUUGCGUCUGCACAUCCGAAAGUCAGAAGACCUGCCUGAAGGUGUUGUGUAUUC
rnacentral:ncRNA from 1 species